rnacentral:rRNA from 1 species
CACGUAGGAGGCGAGCGUUGUCCGGAAUCAUUGGGCGUAAAGAGCGCGCAGGCGGCUUGGCAAGUCGGGUGUGAAAUCCCGGGGCUCAACCCCGGGACUGCAUUCGAUACUGUCAGGCUAGAGGUAGGUAGGGGAGAUCGGAAUUCCUGGUGUAGCGGUGGAAUGCGCAGAUAUCAGGAGGAACACCGGUGGCGAAGGCGGAUCUCUGGGCCUUACCUGACGCUCAGGCGCGAAAGCUAGGGGAGCGAACAGG